UACGUAGGUGGCAAGCGUUGUCCGGAAUUAUUGGGCGUAAAGGGCGCGUAGGCGGCUUUGCGUGUCUUUCGUGAAAUCCCUCGGCUCAACUGAGGACGUGCGGAAGAAACUGCAGGGCUGGAGUCCGGGAGAGGAGGGUGGAAUUCCCAGUGUAGCGGUGAAAUGCGUAGAUAUCAGGAGGAACACCGGUGGCGAAGGCGGGUCUCUGGGCCGAUACUGACGCUGAGGAGCGAAAGCGUGGGGAGCGAACAGG
rnacentral:rRNA from 1 species